UUCUUAUCAAGAGCAGGCGGAGGGACUAGCCCAAUGAAGCCCGGCAACCGACCUUACCCAUUGUAAGGCACGGUGCUAAUUCUUGCAGCGGGAAGCUGAAAGAUGAGAA
rnacentral:ncRNA from 2 species